rnacentral:pre_miRNA from 14 species
CGCUGGAGUUACAGGUGGUAGUGAGCCACCAUAUGGGUCCUGGAACUGAGCUUGAACCUGAAAGAUCCCACGCAGAGAGACCCUUACUCAAGUCUUGGGAAAUUGUGGACCCCAGACACAGAGAGACCA